rnacentral:rRNA from 1 species
UAGGGAGCGAGCGUUGUCCGGAUUUACUGGGUGUAAAGGGCGUGUAGGCGGAGCUGCAAGUCAGAAGUGCAAUCUCCGGGCUCAACCCGGAAACUGCUUUUGAAACUGUAGCCCUUGAGUAUCGGAGAGGCAGGCGGAAUUCCUAGUGUAGCGGUGAAAUGCGUAGAUAUUAGGAGGAACACCAGUGGCGAAGGCGGCCUGCUGGACGACAACUGACGCUGAGGCGCGAAAGCGUGGGGAGCAAA